AUGAUUUCAUACGUGCAAAUAUACAUCUGUACGUAUCAUAUGCUAUGUGCUUUUGUAAUAUUUCACGCAGAACGUUUUGUAUAUGACAAAAAAUGAUAAAAAUUCACUUGGUGUCGCGACUACUGGUGUGGAUUACACAUAUGUGACAAUAGCCACCACAAGCAAAUCAGCUACAUACAUUUUCUAUAUAUAACAACAGCUGUUUCAGGGAAGUGAAUUGAUUUGCCUGCUCUACAAUGGACAGUGUUCGUGUGAACGGGUUUGUGUGAGCGGCUGGAUGAAUGUUGUCCAGUACUGUAACCUGUCUUAAACUGAAACAACUAAACAUUAACAUCAUUUCAACACAUCUGGAUCAAAGAAACCUACAAUAUAUACCAACACAGUCAGCUUGAACGUACGUCAAACCAUCCGAUCCAAAUUUUUUCGAAACACAUUGACCAAACGUUUCAGAGACAAAUGCACACACCACAAAUUCAUACUGUAUAGAAAUUAGGUAAUAAUACAUAUAGAAUAUAUGACAUGAUACCAAAAUAAUAGUUUAUGCAUAUAUCAGUACAUAAAAACACUAAAUAUUAACAUAGCAUUCUGCAUAAAUUUAAUACAAUGCCCCGAAAGGUUAUCGACAAAGUAACGCUAAUACAACGAGCGCAACAUUGUUUAUGCCUUUGGGAUCUCCCAGUAGGAUCGUCGAAUUAAUUCCAGUAGACAUACAGCGCCAGAUGGAGAAAGCGUCGAUAUCUCACGCCACUCAGCCCUCGAGAUGUUAUCACACCGCCCCAAGCUUGCUGUCGAGCCCUGGAAAGAAGAUACAUGGGUUACACCCAAUUAUCCACGUAAAUAUUCCAGGAAGUGAUUCUAGAUGGACAUCAUCCAAGCGCGUCAGCUUGACGAUUGAGGGACUACCGAAAUGGAUGCAAGUCUGAGACGUGAAACUCCUACAUACGGGUGGUGACAAACCCGGAAAAACACACUGGGCAAACCGAGAUUGGUAACAACGUUCAUAGCUUCCUGGCACGCCCAAGGGACUUAACUUUUGACGGCGAAUGUAGUGGAUAGACGACCAUGUGUAUCUGAUUCUCUGACGAUAUAUCUGAGGCUAAAUGGCUUCUCGUGGAGGCGCUUUGCCUGCUACCUUACUUGUUGGAGCUCACGGACACAGUCAAUGUUGGCUUUGAUGUAGUGAAGAGACGUCCAUGCAAUGAUGCAUACGUCAUUGCCACGUCAGGUGU